rnacentral:rRNA from 1 species
UACACUCCUACGGGAGGCAGCAGUGAGGAAUAUUGGACAAUGGGUGGAAGCCUGAUCCAGCCAUCCCGCGUGCAGGAAGACGGCCCUAUGGGUUGUAAACUGCUUUUAUCUGGGGAUAAACCUACUUACGUGUAAGUAGCUGAAGGUACCAGAAGAAUAAGCACCGGCUAACUCCGUGCCAGCAGCCGCGGUAAUACGGAGGGUGCAAGCGUUAUCCGGAUUUAUUGGGUUUAAAGGGUCCGUAGGCGGACUGAUAAGUCAGUGGUGAAAUCCGACAGCUUAACUGUCGAACUGCCAUUGAUACUGUUAGUCUUGAGUAAGGUUGAAGUGGCUGGAAUAAGUAGUGUAGCGGUGAAAUGCAUAGAUAUUACUUAGAACACCAAUUGCGAAGGCAGGUCACUAAGUCUUAACUGACGCUGAUGGACGAAAGCGUGGGGAGCGAACAGGAUUAGAAACCCCAGUAGUCCCAUGAU